AUUGAACGCUGGCGGAAUGCUUUACACAUGCAAGUCGAGCGGCAGCACGGGGGCAACCCUGGUGGCGAGCGGCGAACGGGUGAGUAAUACAUCGGAACAUGCCCAGUCGUGGGGGAUAACACUUCGAAAGAAGUGCUAAUACCGCAUACGUCCUGAGGGAGAAAGCGGGGGAUCUUCGGACCUCGCGCGAUUGGAGUGGCCGAUGUCAGAUUAGCUAGUUGGGGGGGUAAAGGCCUACCAAGGCAACGAUCUGUAGCUGGUCUGAGAGGAUGAUCAGCCACACUGGGACUGAGACACGGCCCAGACUCCUACGGGAGGCAGCAGUGGGGAAUUUUGGACAAUGGGGGCAACCCUGAUCCAGCCAUUCCGCGUGAGUGAAGAAGGCCUUCGGGUUGUAAAGCUCUUUCGGCAGGAACGAAUCGGCGAGCUCUAACAUAGCUUGCUAAUGACGGUACCUGAAGAAGAAGCACCGGCUAACUACGUGCCAGCCGCCGCAGUAAUAC
rnacentral:rRNA from 1 species